UCUACGUUAAAACGCAACUUUAUUGGGAAGGUUCGGUUUGGGCUGCGUUCGAAGGCAAUGGUUGUUGUCGCGGAUCGGCCGAACCGGCCGCGAUUUUAUGCGAACGAUUCGGUCGGUUACGGUAGCCGCCAAUUAUCGUUAAUUGAGAUCCCGAAAUUGCAACGCGGACGGAGGCAGCUGCCGCAUCGGAUACGAUCGAGAAUGGAGAUCCACCGGAGGAGGAUCGACGCGCUCACCGGGGCAGAAAUGACCGAGCUCGUCUCCUCCUGUGUGGCAUCGUAAAUGCUAAUUUAUAUCAAUCAUAGCCUUUGCCUACAACGUUGUCGCCACGGGAGGCUAUCGCUCGUGGCGAUUCCCUUUUAGUACUCUUUGCAGCCAGAGAUAUGCGCGAUUAUUGUGUGUACGGUUACAAGAUAUGAGACGCGGAUAUGGAGAUAAAGAAGAGAUUUUCUGGUUUUACAGCGUUGGAAGACGCUUUUUGCAUAGACAAGUCGAAGCCAUUGAUGGAAAGGAACUAUAAUCUCUGACAGAACGAAGAAGCAAUUACCAAAUAUAGACAUUGAGUAAUCUAAGACAGAAGAAAAACUGUACAUAUCGGUUUAUCGGUGUCAAUGAGAUGCCCACGGGCCACAGUCCUGGUCCAAGGUUGUCCACCUGCUGCGCUAUCUAUCCGAUACACGAUGUGUCCAAGACCGUCCGGCGAGUCCACGCCCCGGCUUGGGCGCAAACGUCGCGAUCGUAGCUGCGCGUGCGACACUUCUAGCCGUCCUGUCGCCUCCAAUGAAGACAUCCUGUUUCAAUAACGUCGUCAAAUCUAAGCAAAGUCACUGACGUGAUGCGUAGAUGCGUUCAGGAAAUCUUCGAUCUACGAUACGAGGAUCAUAACGAACAAAACGGACAGAUCAAUUAAAGUCAUAAGAUAAGCGACGUCAAAACCGUAGAAAUAUGGUAAGAGGUGCCUCAAAGAUGCGGGACACCGCUUCUACAGACUCUUAAUAUCUGUUUGGAAGCUGUUCUCUUACAUUUUUGUAGCUUUAACGCAAAUCAUGCGGAUGCUUUGAAAUUGCCACAGAACGCGGAAUAAUUAAAGAAAUCUUUCGCAUUUUUUUAUUUAGAAACAAUCCAUUGCUAAAUGACGUCAUUAUGUACUACUUAAGUCGCAGAUUAAGUAUAAAAGCAAAGCAUACAUCUUGGAAAUUCGCAAUCGUUACGAUCGAUCGUAGAAAUUUUUCAUGUUGGCGUGACCGAACGCAUGGUCUGACCACGUCACCUAUUCUACUGUGAAUCUAUCGCGUGGAACAUUCGCCACCGAGUAUUCUGCGUCGCUCUGGCUGCUCUCGAUACGUUCAUAAAAGACGAUACAACAAGAGGAACGUGUUUUACCUGCUCGAACCGUUUCCAUUUGUUCACCUGUUGUUUUCGUCUCAGGAGGCCCGUCAGGGGAUUAUAAGGAUUUCGUGGAUAGCAGAGCCAGCAAGAAGACCAAUUAAAUUUCGCCCGUCACGAAGAGAAUCCCUCGGUUAAAGAAGCUGCUUGCUUAGGGCCCCCUCGAGAAUAAUGUACCGCAUUCCAAAUGAGGAGAUUUACACAAUCGGGGCGGCGGCGGACCCUCGCUCGAAGCAACAAGUCUUUUUGCCGGAAUCGUUCCGGUGAUCGUUUUCUUUGCUGAUUCUGGCUUUCUUUUUGCCACUUGGUUCCACCGUCGCGGCAAUUAGGAAGUCCUGAUUUCUGAAUUACGUUCUCGGUGGUUGUUUUUAUUCUGUAAACCGCGAGGGACCAGAGACGAAGAACAAUCGACUUCUACGAUCGCGAGAUGGCGAAACCAGGAGAGAAUACAGAGAGGAGCGUUUAAGCGAGCAUUAAGCGGUCAGGCGUUGUUUCGACGUCAUUACCCACGAAAACAGGUUUGGGUAUUAAGCGUUUGAAAAUAUCAGCCCCGCAUUUCUCCCUGGUAUUACGGUCGACGCGGAAUUACGCAUUCAGCGUAAAGUGGAUUACGAUUAUCGCGAGCUGCGUUGAGCGUUUACCGCUUAAGAAUAUCUUGGUCUUCAUAAAGGCGCACAAGAAUGCGUAAGAACCUAGCUGACGCGACGGGGUGGAUGAAACGUGGAUGACACGAUGCUUGGAGAGCACGAUAUAAUCAUUAAGAGAAUCCUGCUACGAAGUAUGUAUUAUAUCUCGAAGCGAUAUACGAUUUUAUUAUUACUAUUAUUUAUUGUUAUUUCUAGUGGUGGAUUUAGCUUGGAUGUGAAUCGAGUCUGAAUUAAUUUUGAUUUCUUUCGCAAAGACAAAGAAUGUAUAAUUUUUCGUUUAACUUCUCCUCUCUUAACUUUUCAAUUUGUUGGCAUCUCAUCAGAGCUUACAAACUUCGUUAUCGAAAAUAUGUUAUUUAUUUUACUCGUUAUUUUUUUCUUUAAAUAUUAUUUUUUAUCGCUUGUC